rnacentral:rRNA from 1 species
GAUGAACGCUGGCGGCGUGCCUAAUACAUGCAAGUCGAGCGAACAGACGAGGAGCUUGCUCCUCUGACGUUAGCGGCGGACGGGUGAGUAACACGUGGAUAACCUACCUAUAAGACUGGGAUAACUUCGGGAAACCGGAGCUAAUACCGGAUAAUAUAUUGAACCGCAUGGUUCAAUAGUGAAAGACGGUUUUGCUGUCACUUAUAGAUGGAUCCGCGCCGCAUUAGCUAGUUGGUAAGGUAACGGCUUACCAAGGCAACGAUGCGUAGCCGACGUGAGAGAGUGAUCGGCCACACUGGAGCUGAGACACGGUCCAGACUCCUACGGGAGGCAGCAGUAGGGAAUCUUCCGCAAUGGGCGAAAGCCUGACGGAGCAACGCCGCGUGAGUGAUGAAGGUCUUCGGAUCGUAAAACUCUGUUAUUAGGGAAGAACAAAUGUGUAAGUAACUAUGCACGUCUUGACGGUACCUAAUCAGAAAGCCACGGCUAACUACGUG